GAUCCAUUUUCCGAACUGUCACCGUAUGGUGGCGUGCCCGGGACAACCGGGCUAGGGAAUGGAUCGUUU
rnacentral:sRNA from 1 species